GUCGAACGAUGAACCGGUUUCGGCCGGGGAUUAGUGGCGAACGGGUGAGUAACACGUGGGCAAUCUGCCCUGCACUCUGGGAUAAGCCCGGGAAACUGGGUCUAAUACCGGAUACGACACAUGAGCGCAUGCUCGUGUGUGGAAAGUUCCGGCGGUGCAGGAUGAGCCCGCGGCCUAUCAGUUUGUUGGUGGGGUAGUGGCCUACCAAGACGACGACGGGUAGCCGGCCUGAGAGGGUGACCGGCCACACUGGGACUGAGACACGGCCCAGACUCCUACGGGAGGCAGCAGUGGGGAAUAUUGCACAAUGGGCGAAAGCCUGAUGCAGCGACGCCGCGUGAGGGAUGACGGCCUUCGGGUUGUAAACCUCUUUCAGCAGGGAAGAAGCGAAAGUGACGGUACCUGCAGAAGAAGCACCGGCUAACUACGUGCCAGCAGCCGCGGUAAUACGUAGGGUGCAAGCGUUGUCCGGAAUUAUUGGGCGUAAAGAGCUCGUAGGCGGCCUGUCGCGUCGAUUGUGAAAGCCCAGGGCUUAACCCUGGGUCUGCAGUCGAUACGGGCAGGCUAGAGUUCGGUAGGGGAGAUCGGAAUUCCUGGUGUAGCGGUGAAAUGCGCAGAUAUCAGGAGGAACACCGGUGGCGAAAGGCGGAUCUCUGGGCCGAUACUGACGCUGAGGAGCGAAAGCGUGGGGAGCGAACAGGAUUAGAUACCCUGGUAGUCCACGCCGUAAACGGUGGGCACUAGGUGUGGGCAACAUUCCACGUUGUCCGUGCCGCAGCUAACGCAUUAAGUGCCCCGCCUGGGGGAGUACGGCCGCAAGGCUAAAACUCAAAGGAAUUGACGGGGCCCGCAC
rnacentral:rRNA from 1 species